rnacentral:rRNA from 1 species
AACGAACGCUGGCGGCAGGCUUAACACAUGCAAGUCGAACGCACCGCAAGGUGAGUGGCAGACGGGUGAGUAACACGUGGGGAUCUGCCCAAUGGUACGGAAUAGCUCCGGGAAACUGGAAUUAAUACCGUAUGUGCCCUUCGGGGGAAAGAUUUAUCGCCAUUGGAUGAACCCGCGUCGGAUCAGCUAGUUGGUGAGGUAAAGGCUCACCAAGGCGACGAUCCGUAGCUGGUCUGAGAGGAUGAUCAGCCACACUGGGACUGAGACACGGCCCAGACUCCUACGGGAGGCAGCAGUGGGGAAUAUUGGACAAUGGGCGCAAGCCUGAUCCAGCCAUGCCGCGUGAGUGACGAAGGCCUUAGGGUUGUAAAGCUCUUUCGCCGACGAAGAUAAUGACGGUAGUCGGAGAAGAAGCCCCGGCUAACUUCGUGCCAGCCGCCGCGGUAA